rnacentral:pre_miRNA from 1 species
GGUUCAUGGCUUUCUGAAACAUUCACCCUUAAGGCUGAAAUUUUCCAUUUUUGGUCUUUGCCUGGAGGUUGAUUUGUUGUUUUGGAAAGUUUGAGC